rnacentral:lncRNA from 1 species
CAUUUAAUCUUUAUUUGACAUUUUCUCCCUUAAAACAUUCAGGCUUGGGAUUUUGCUGGCACUUUCUGCACAUUUUAACUAGAUCUAUGUAGAAUUUUCUAUAAAAUCAGGUCAGCUUGCGAUGUCUGGAGUCUGCCUGGAAGGCCUGGGAUUGCUACAGCCUCAGAUCAACCCAACAAAAGACAUUAAGGUUAACAAGUCCUUACUCCUUCCUCCUUCAUUCUUAGCCAAAAAAAUAUUCCUGAACUAUCCAUGCACCUCUUUGUCCAUCACACAAGAUAACAGCAAGAAAGCAGGCAGAAUCAAAUCUUAAGCUCUCCUCUCUUUGAGGCUGAAGUGCUACUAGAAAAUGUCUAGGUACUAUUGCUCUGAUGGAGAAAAGGAGGUUGGGAAACUGCAGAAGGGAUGGAGAAUGAAAUCGAGGACUCCCCAGGAUCCUGUUGUUACCUCGUGCCUUUGC